CCUACGGGAGGCAGCAGUGGGGAAUAUUGGACAAUGGGCGAAAGCCUGAUCCAGCAAUGCCGCGUGAGUGAUGAAGGCCUUAGGGUUGUAAAGCUCUUUUACCAGGGAUGAUAAUGACAGUACCUGGAGAAUAAGCUCCGGCUAACUCCGUGCCAGCAGCCGCGGUAAUACGGAGGGAGCUAGCGUUGUUCGGAAUUACUGGGCGUAAAGCGUACGUAGGCGGUUAUUCAAGUCAGAGGUGAAAGCCUGGAGCUCAACUCCAGAACUGCCUUUGAAACUAGAUAGCUAGAAUCUUGGAGAGGUGAGUGGAAUUCCGAGUGUAGAGGUGAAAUUCGUAGAUAUUCGGAAGAACACCAGUGGCGAAGGCGACUCACUGGACAAGUAUUGACGCUGAGGUACGAAAGCGUGGGGAGCAAACAGGAUUAGAUACCCUGGUAGUCCACGCCGUAAACGAUGAUAACUAGCUGUUCGGGCUCUACGAGCUUGAGUGGCGCAGCUACGCAUUAAGUUAUCCGCCGUCGGGAGGUACGGUCGCGAGAAUUAAACUACAAUAGAAUUAGACGGCGUGAGACGUGCCGACGGACGACGACGAGGGAGGUUAGG
rnacentral:rRNA from 1 species